AAAACAUAGCCAGAGGAAGAUAUUUUUGGUUUAACCUGCCCAAUGUGUUAUUGUAUGAAUGGCCGCGGUACCCUGACCGUGCUAAGGUAGCGUAAUCAAUUGGCUUUUGAAUGGAGUCAGGUAUGAAUGGGAUAACCGGGCUUAGCUGUCUCAAAGACAUUUAUUUGAAUUUACUGUUCAAGUGAAAAAGCUUGAUUUAAGAAAAGGGACGAGAAGACCCUUAGAAUUUUGUUUAAAGGGGAUUAUUUCUUCUAUGAUUUUGUUGGGGCGACAGAGAAAUAAUUAAAACUUUCUUUAAAUUAAUCAGUCGGAAUUUUCAGAUUAGGAUAAAUUACCUGAGGGAUAACAGCAUAAUUUUAUAAAUAAGUUUGUGACCUCGAUGUUGGACUAGGGAGCUAAUGGGUUAGCUGCUCAUUGUGCGGAUUCUGUUCGAAUUUUAACUCCUACGUGAUCUG
rnacentral:rRNA from 1 species